rnacentral:tRNA from 1 species
GCCAGUGUGGUGUAGUGGUUUGAGUGUUGGACUACAACUCUGGAGACCAGGGUUCAAGUCCCACCUUGCCC